GGACACCAUAGCUCAGUGGAAGAGCAUGUGCUUGGGAUGCAGAAGGUCCCAGAUUCAAACCCUGGUGUCUCCA